AUGGACGAGUCUGACGGAGCACGCCGCGUGAACGAUGAAGGCCUUCGGGUCGUAAAGUUCUGUUGUUAGGGAAGAACAAGUACCGGAGUAACUGCCGGUACCUUGACGGUACCUAACCAGAAAGCCACGGCUAACUACGUG
rnacentral:rRNA from 1 species